GACGAACGCUGGCGGCGGGCUUAACACAUGCAAGUCGAACGGGCAGUCCCUGGUUUUGUGGGGUGCUCGGGUUGCGAACUGGUGAGUUACACGUGAGUAACCUGCCCUUGACUUUGGGAUAACUUCAUGAAACUGGGUCUAAUUGCGGAUAGGAGCUCUCGCUUCAUGGUUGGCGUUGGAAAGUUUCGGCGGUUGGGGGUGGACUGGCGGCUUAUCAGCUUGUUGGUGGGGUAGUGGCUUAGCAAGGCCUCGACGGGUAGCCGGGCGGAGAGGGUGACAGGACACACUGGGACUGAGAUACGGCCCAGACUACUCCGGUAGGCAGCAGUGGAGUAUAUUGCAUAAUGGGAUGAAGCAUGAUGCAGCAACGCCGCGUGGGGGAAGACGGCAUUCGGGUUGUAUUCUGCUUUCGCCUGUGACGAAGAGUGAGUGACGGUAAUGGGUAAAGAAGCACCGGCUAACUACGUG
rnacentral:rRNA from 1 species